ensembl:lncRNA
AAAAAACUGUUCUUUCCACUUCUCUCUCUGUGGUAGAUUAAAGAUAGCCACAAAUUCUUUGCUAUUCCUCCCAUCAAGAAAUGGAGUCUCUUUCCCAUCUCAAAUCUAGGCAUGUCCUGUGACUUGCUUUGGCCAGUAGAACAUGGCAGAAAUGACGGAGGGCUUGUUCUGGGCCAAGCCUUUGAGAAGCCUGGCAGCUUCCACUACAUAGGGGGAAGCCAGCUAGCAGUGAAAAAGUCUCGCAAUUCUGAGACUCCUGGGCGAGGGCCUAGCUAGCCAUGUGGAGAAGCCACCCAGCAAACAACUGAGGGCCCAGACAUAUGACCCCAGCUGAGCCAUCCCCGCCAAUAUUCCCAGUCAUUUCAAGCGACCCAGCCAAGCAUCCAGACACCGUGGAGCAGACAAGCCCUCCCCGCUGUGCCUCUCCAAAUGCCUGAAUCACAAAAUCAUAAGUAGAAUAGCUACUGCUUCAAACCACUAAGUUCUGGGGGUAGUUCUUACUCAGCAAUAGGUAACCAAAAGCCUCUAUGCUGUUCUUUUUCUCCCCCUUCCCUGAAAAAUAAGAAGACGUUACUGGGAUGUGUAGUCUGACAGAGUUGGCUUUUAUUACAAAUCCUGUAGCCGCAGUGCUGACCAUGCAAACUAACAUUCUGACCCAAAAGAUACACUGUGCCAAACACUCAGAAAGCUAUCUUCCUAGAAACUUCCAGCUAAGUAUUGUCAGGGAGCCAAUAGCGCAUGGGUGUUUUCGAGCUGGAAAUAAUCAGGUCAUUAUUGAAUUUGGAAAACCAGAUUGCCAGCCCCUGACAUCACAAAAGGAUUGCUCUUCUCUGGAACCUACUCUGCAUGAGUUCAUCCAGAGGCUGGACCCUCAAAGGGAUACACCCUGGGUCAUCCACCUGGUCCUAUAUGCCCAUCUCGGUCCCAGCUACCAUGACUGGGGAGUGUCUGGGAGUCAUCGAGGGGCUGAAAGAGCUGGCCAAAAUCACGGCUUCUGACAUGCACAUCUCCACUAGUCAUUACAGCCCAGAAAUUGGAAAACACUUUAUUCGUCCAGAUGAACGUGCAGAGAUGUUUCUGACUUCACUGUCACGGGUUGGAUCGGCACUCCUCUGUAAAAUGUCAAAUGAAGACUACACCAGGGCUUCUUCAACCUUAGCAUGUGUAAGAAGACUUUGGCAGCUUGUCAAAAUGCAGAUUCCUACACACCCCCAGAGCAUCUGGCUCAGUAAGUCUGGGGUAGAGACCAAGAUGCUUGAACUCAAACAAGCCACCAGUUAGUGCUGAUGCAGCUGGUCUGGGAACCACCCUUUGACCAGCACUGGCCUACACCAGUAGCCUCUUCAGUGAAGGCUGGCAUCUCACCUUUAAAGAUUCCUUUCCCGGGGUAAAGAAAUGUGCAAAUUAAAUAUACCAGUCCAUGUGACCAACUAAAGAAAACUGUAUUCUUAUUUUGGGUUUCAGUUCAAUUCGCCAAACUUACUCUGCUGUCUUGCACUAUGUCCACUGAAGACAUCAGAUUUACCCUCAAGAAGAUUCCUACCUCUACAUGUAUGUAAAUACCAAGGCAAAUUAUAAUGAGACUGUGAUAUAACAAACACCAAAAAUGAAGCCCAAACUCCUAGUGGAUGCUAGCAUUCAGGGAAUGUCAAAGCAAAGAUGAAC